rnacentral:rRNA from 1 species
UGCAGUAGAACGCUGAAGGAGGAGCUUGCUUCUCUGGAUGAGUUGCGAACGGGUGAGUAACGCGUAGGUAACCUGCCUGGUAGCGGGGGAUAACUAUUGGAAACGAUAGCUAAUACCGCAUAAGAGUAGAUGUUGCAUGACAUUUGCUUAAAAGGUGCAAUUGCAUCACUACCAGAUGGACCUGCGUUGUAUUAGCUAGUUGGUGGGGUAACGGCUCACCAAGGCGACGAUACAUAGCCGACCUGAGAGGGUGAUCGGCCACACUGGGACUGAGACACGGCCCAGACUCCUACGGGAGGCAGCAGUAGGGAAUCUUCGGCAAUGGACGGAAGUCUGACCGAGCAACGCCGCGUGAGUGAAGAAGGUUUUCGGAUCGUAAAGCUCUGUUGUAAGAGAAGAACGAGUGUGAGAGUGGAAAGUUCACACUGUGACGGUAUCUUACCAGAAAGGGACGGCUAACUACGUGCCAGC